GUGGGGAAUAUUGGACAAUGGGCGAAAGCCUGAUCCAGCCAUGCCGCGUGUGUGAAGAAGGUCUUCGGAUUGUAAAGCACUUUAAGUUGGGAGGAAGGGCAGUAAGUUAAUACCUUGCUGUUUUGACGUUACCGACAGAAUAAGCACCGGCUAACUUCGUGCCAGCAGCCGCGGUAAUACGAAGGGUGCAAGCGUUAAUCGGAAUUACUGGGCGUAAAGCGCGCGUAGGUGGUUUUGUAAGACAGGCGUGAAAUCCCCGGGCUCAACCUGGGAACUGCUUUCAAAACUGCUGAGCUAGAGUACGGUAGAGGGUGGUGGAAUUUCCUGUGUAGCGGUGAAAUGCGUAGAUAUAGGAAGGAACACCAGUGGCGAAGGCGACCACCUGGACUGAUACUGACACUGAGGUGCGAAAGCGUGGGGAGCAAACAGGAUUAGAUACCCGGGUAGUCC
rnacentral:rRNA from 1 species